GCUGGGCAUGGUGGUGCAUGCCUGUAAUCCCAGCUACUUGGGAGGCUGAGGCGGGAGAAUUGCUUGAACCCAGGAGGCGGAGGUUGCAGUGAGCCGAGAUCGCGCCAUUGCACUCCAGCCUGGGUAACAAGCGAAACUCCGCCUCAA
ensembl:misc_RNA Metazoa_SRP Metazoan signal recognition particle RNA